UACGGAGGGUGCAAGCGUUAUCCGGAUUCACUGGGUUUAAAGGGUGCGUAGGAGGGCAGGUAAGUCAGUGGUGAAAUCUCCGAGCUUAACUUGGAAACUGCCGUUGAUACUAUCUGUCUUGAAUAUUGUGGAGGUGAGCGGAAUAUGUCGUGUAGCGGUGAAAUGCUUAGAUAUGACAUAGAACACCAAUUGCGAAGGCAGCUCGCUACACAUAUAUUGACUCUGAGGCACGAAAGCGUGGGGAUCAAACAGG
rnacentral:rRNA from 1 species